AUCAGGUGAGCCGGGACAGCCUUCUUCCUCCGCCCAGCCGCCACAGUGAUUGUCGUCAAGUCUGCCACAGGAGGAUAUUUUUUUGAGGUUAACCUGCUUUCUCCCUCGCAGGUCAAUUAUUACUGUUUGUAUAAACUUGUUAAAUCUUAGAAUUUCCGCAUGUGUUAGAAAUGUUUAUUUGAUUUGGGUCUGUAAACUAAAUUAUUAUUUUGGGACCUGUAAACUUAAUAUGCUUUGCAUGUUUGAUGGAUUGGAUGAGGGAGCUGAGCUCCCAUUUAUUAUUAUGUUGAUGAGUAUGUGGAGGGUGAGCUGAGCUCCCCAAUUGACUAUAUAUUGUGUUUACAGGUCGGGUGAGUCGAAAACUCCCCGUUGGUAA